rnacentral:tRNA from 2 species
GGAGAGAUGGCCGAGUCGGCUGAAGGCGCUCGCCUGCUAAGCGAGUGUGCGGUUUAAAGCUGCACCGAGGGUUCGAAUCCCUCUCUCUCCGCCA